CAUAACUUUAUUAUUUUUUGUCUAUCAGAUUAUAUGGAAAAAGUUUACAAUCCUUUCAAAUAAUUACAAGGAAUAAAUUCAUCAAACUAAUGGGCUGAGGACCAUCUAGAAUAGUACAAUAACUUCUUUUUUUUAAUGUAGAAGUCCAGAGUAAAUACAUUAAAUAAAGGUCUAAGGCCCAAUCCAAAGAGCCUAAAACUCAACUAGUCAACCCUAACCCUAUUCUUAAGAGAUUCAAACAGAGCCUCCCUAGAAUGAUAUAGCGUUACCAUCAUCUGAAACAACUGGGAGGGGUUGCCAUAGACCAAAUGAAUAGGGAUUUUUCUGUCAAUACUUUGCAAGCUUCGAGCAAAACCCUCCAAGGACAAGACUGAAACCCAUAACCCAAGGUCGAACCACCAUCUCUAGCAAAAUCACCAAGCUCAAAUAGCCACUAACAAUAAAGGAGAGAGAAGGGCAACGGCCAUGGCAUCUCAAUAUCCUCUAGCCAUGAGAAAACAAGCAAAAGAUUUGUGAACCCUAGCUCUAAGUCCUUGGAGACGCCUUUCUUGGAACCACCUUCCAAGCUGCUUCCCUGCUCAAACCUUCGAAACGGAACACGAGUGGCGCCAAGAAGAAACAAAGCCAUGAAACAUGGUUCCUUCAUCGUGACAAACCUAUAUGUAUUGAGUCUCCAUAUCCCUCUAUAGUUCACUCCACCUGCAAUCUAACAAAAUAAAACACAAAUUGUACACAGUCUCACUCAAAUAUGAGGAGGGAAGUAUAGCCGAGGGAGGAGAAAAAAAAACCUUCCCCUGCCUAAAGGGCAAGGGACCGGUCAAGUUAGCCGAGAAAGACAAGUUUGAGUACUCAAAGAAAUGAAAGCUUUUUAAAAGGAAAAACUCUCUAAGAAAAUUAAAGGGAAGGCUUUUUUGCAAUCUACACUAUGUUACUAAUUUAAUGAGUGAAGGUGACUAUCUAUUUUGAAAUGAAUAAG
rnacentral:misc_RNA from 1 species